rnacentral:rRNA from 1 species
GACGAACGCUGGCGGCGUGCUUAACACAUGCAAGUCGAACGGAAAGGCCCUGCUUUUGUGGGGUGCUCGAGUGGCGAACGGGUGAGUAACACGUGAGUAACCUGCCCUUGACUUUGGGAUAACUCCAGGAAACUGGGGCUAAUACCGGAUAGGAGCUCCUGCUGCAUGGUGGGGGUUGGAAAGUUUCGGCGGUUGGGGAUGGACUCGCGGCUUAUCAGCUUGUUGGUGGGGUAGUGGCUUACCAAGGCUUUGACGGGUAGCCGGCCUGAGAGGGUGACCGGCCACAUUGGGACUGAGAUACGGCCCAGACUCCUACGGGAGGCAGCAGUGGGGAAUAUUGCACAAUGGGCGGAAGCCUGAUGCAGCAACGCCGCGUGCGGGAGGACGGCCUUCGGGUUGUAAACCGCUUUCGCCUGUGACGAAGCGUGAGUGACGGUAAUGGGUAAAGAAGCACCGGCUAACUACGU